UUACUGACUACAACGUGAGCUACACUCGCCGUAUAUAAUCCCGAGUGUGGCCGCGUAGCAUCCUCAGAGGAGGGGAGAUGGAAAGGGAGGCGUAAGGAAGCAAAACAAGCAUUAAAAAAAAAAAAAAAAAAAACGGAUUUCAAAGCGAGGAGUUGGAGCAACGUCACCGUCAAUGAAGGUUGGAUGCUGAGGACGAGGAUGCGACUAGCUUGAUUCGGAGGGGGGGGGGGGGGCGGGGGUGGACGCUUAAUAAACACCAUUUACUCGUAUUUUUAUCAUUAUCCGUUAAGUGAAAGACUCUUCAGGGAUGGACGUGAGCUCUCAGCACUGAGGCUGCCUGCUCGCCAGUUGUUCCCCCAUGGCCCUCAUUCACGAGUCCCGUGCCCCAUCUCCAUCUCUCUCCGGCUUCAACACCCCUCUCUCCGAAACCCCGUCCUUUCGCCGGCUCGAUGCCGAAACUCCCUGCACCCCUGAAAUGGACCUGACACCGACCCAGUGCGUCCUUCGCAACGUCCUCUCUAUAGACACGGGGGGCACGGUAGAGCCGAGAGGAGGAGGAGGAGAGGAUGGACCGACUUCCGGGCCCCACCAGACGCCAGGCGAGGAGCAACACAAUCACUUUGACAACAGCGUCCUCAAGCUGCACGAUCACGACGGGGGUCCCACCAGGACGGAGGGAGAGGGGACGGAGGCGGACGGCAGCGCUGUGCGGCGCGAGGCGGGCAACGCUAGGCUGCAGUGCCAGUCCAAUGGAGGAGGCGGGGGCUUUCUGGAGGGCUUGUUUGGCUGCCUGCGACCUGUCUGGACUAUGAUCGGGAAGGCGUAUUCCACGGAACACAAACACGACCUGGACGAGGCGUGGGAAGUCCCCUUCGAGGAGAUAUCGGACCUGCAGUGGGUGGGCAGUGGCGCCCAGGGUGCUGUCUUCCUGGGCAAGUUGCACGGGCAGGAGGUGGCGGUGAAGAAAGUGCGGAACAUCAAGGAGACGGACAUCAAGCACCUCCGCAAGCUCAAACACCCCAACAUCAUCACUUUCAAAGGAAUUUGCACCCAGGCUCCGUGCUACUGCAUACUCAUGGAGUACUGCGCCCAGGGCCAGCUGUAUGAGGUGCUGAGAGCGGGCAGGAAGAUCACGCCAUCACUCCUCAUGGACUGGGCCAUGGGCGUCGCCGGCGGGAUGAACUACCUUCACCUGCACAAGAUCAUCCACAGAGACCUCAAAUCGCCAAAUAUUCUUAUCACAUAUGAUGAUGCGGUGAAGAUCUCUGAUUUCGGCACGUCUAAGGAGCUCAGCGACAAGAGCACCAAGAUGUCCUUUGCCGGUACGGUGGCCUGGAUGGCCCCCGAGGUCAUACGGAAUGAGCCGGUCUCAGAGAAAGUGGAUAUUUGGUCUUUCGGCGUUGUGCUGUGGGAGAUGCUGACAGGAGAGGUACCCUACAAGGACGUGGACUCCUCUGCUAUCAUCUGGGGAGUGGGCAACAACAGCCUGCAGCUGCCCGUACCCGACAGCUGUCCCGACAGCUUCAAACUGCUGUUGAGGCAAAGCUGGAAUUGCAAACCAAGAAACAGACCUUCGUUCCGACAGAUUCUCCUACAUCUGGACAUCGCUUCAGCGGACAUCUUGUCCACCCCACAAGAAACCUACUUCCAGUCACAGGCCGAGUGGAGGGAUGAGGUCAGGCAUCACUUUGAGAAGAUCAAGUCCGAGGGAACGUGUCUUCACCGAUUGGAUGAGGAGCUCAUCAAACGGCGCAGGGAGGAGCUGAGACAUGCGCUCGACAUCCGGGAGCACUACGAGAGGAAACUGGAGCGAGCCAACAAUCUCUACAUGGAGCUCAACGCUAUCAUGCUGCAGCUGGAGCUCAAGGAGAAGGAGCUGCUCAAGAGGGAGCAGUCACUGGACAAGAAGUACCCGGGCUGCUUCAAGCACCACAGCUCCAGACAAUCGGCCUCCUCAAACUCCAUGGAGAAACUCAUGAAGAAACGUAACGUGCCUCAGAAGCUGCCAGUGCACAGCAAGAGGCCAGACUUGCUCAAGUCAGAAGUCAUCCUUCCCAAACUGGACUCCUCCAUGACCCAGGUGACUAUUCCCACCAAGGGCUCCACAUCGCCCGGCCGCUCCCGCCGAGGGAAGCCACGCUACAGGAAGGCGGGCAAAGGCAGCAGCAGCGAGUUGGCUCAGCUGAAGGCCACGCUGUCUUCGUCUUUGGCUAUGAUAAGCGCCACCACGUCGGUCCCCAGCAGCAAGCAACGUCUGGACGCCAGCGCCGCGCUCAGGGGACUGCAGCACGACUUGCUGCUCAAGAAGAUGUCCUCCUCCAGCCCCGACCUCAUCUCCACCACGAUGGAGGCAGAGGGACGCAGGAAGGGCCAGCCCGGUCCCGGCCUGGACCGGGCGGGCAGCCAGAGCGCCUCGGCCGGGUUGGAAGAGGGCGGCCCGGACACCCGCCCCGACGUGAGCGCCGGGACGGAAGAACUAGCGGAAACGCCCCCGCGCAGCGACACGCCCAGUGAAGACGCCGCUUCCGUCCCAUUUGCUAGCAGCCCCGACUCGCCAGGCGGCAGGGGGGCGGCGGCGGGGCGACCGUCGUCCACCGGGAGCCCCCGUGUUCCUCAGGACGGCGAGGAGAAGGAGGAGGGCGCGGUGAUCACGCGCUCGCCCAGAAGUCAACGCCUCACGCCAUCAGCGCUGCUCUACAGAGCGGCAGUCACACGCAGUCAGAGACGUGGCGUGUCGUCCGAGGAAGAGGAGGGAGAGGUGGACAGCGAGGUGGAGCUGCCCACAAGAUGGAGGCCAGCUAGCAUCAGCAAAUGCCAGUCGCUGUCCACGUUCAGCUCUGAGAACCUGUCGGUGUCAGACGGCGAGGAGGGCAACACCACAGACCACUCGCACAGCGGCACGCCCGACGUGGUCAGCACCAACACGGACGAGCGCCUGGACGACAAGAGCGACGAUCUCCUCUCGCAGGGCUCCGAGAUCCCCGCCGACCCCUGCGACCCCGCCCACGCCGCCUCCGACGGCCUGUCCGAGAAGGAGGCUGCCGUCCGCCACGUCAGGACGCAGCUCGCUGCUCACGACCACAACUACGAGCAUCAUGGAAAAGUCAAAAGAAAUCAGCCAAGAUAUCGGGAAAAGAAUUGUGGACUUGUGCAAGUCUGGUUCAUCCUUGGGUGCAAUCUCCAGAUGCCUGAAGUUGCGAGGUUCAUCUGUUCAAACAAUUAUACGCAAGUAUAAAUACCAUGGGAAUGUCCAGCCAUUAUGCCGCUCAAGAUGGAGUUGUGUGUCCCAGAGAUUAACGUGCUUUUGAUCUCAAAUUUGCAUAUCAACCCAAAAACAAAAGCGGAAGACUUUGUGAAGAUGCUGGCUGAAGCUGCUAAGAGUGUGUCGUUAUCCACAGUGAAACGAGUACUGUACUGACAUGAGCUGAAAGGACUCUCCGCCAGAAAGAAGCCAUUGCUUCAAAAGAAACAUAAGAAAGCAGUUACAGUUUGCAGAUGCAUACAGGGACAAUUUUUGGAGACAUGUCCUGUGGUUUGACCAUAGCAAGCAUUGUUACGUUUGGAGGAAAAAGGAGGGACGCUUGCGAGCCCGAGAACACCAUCCCAACUUUGAAAUAUAGGGUUGACAACCUCAUGUUGUGGCGUUGUUUCCUAUAGGAGGCACUGGUGCACUUCACAAAAUAGAUGGCGUCAUGAGGAAAGAACAUGUGGAAAUAUUGAAGCAACAUCAAGACAUCAGCCAGCAAAUGGGUUUUCCAAAUGGACAAUGGCCUUAAGCAUACUGCCAAACCGGUUACAAAGUGGCUUUAGGAUAACAAAGUCAAUGUUUCGGAGGGGCCAUCACAAAGCCCUGAUGUUAGUCCAACUGAAAAUGUAUGAGCAGACCUGAAAAGGCAUCUGCGAGUAAGGCAGCCUACCAAUUUGGCUCAGUUACACCAGUUCUGUCCAGAGCAGUGUAGCCACACUUACCUUGAAAAAGUACCCUAAUUACCUGAUCUUAAAAGUAACUUAGUUACUUUGCUGAUUACUUGAUUUCAAAAGUAAGCUGGAAAAAAAGUUACUUUUGGCAGCUGCCAAGUGGCAGGAAUAUCACUUAUCCGCAGUACAAAAAAAAGCAUUAGCUUAACCGUACCCAUGACUUGGUAAUGUACACCACACGUUCCAGAAUGAUGUCAUCAACAUGAAGCAAUAACUUCAAUAUUAGUGUAGUUGAAGCCACAUUAAAUGAGCAACUUCGUGCAGAUUUGACGAGCCAACACAGUACAGUAAGUACCGCAAUGUAAAUAAGCACACCGUGCCCAGCGCACUGCCGAUUGCGCUCCGUGAAAGCAAUUUGUGCGCGCGCGUGUACGUAAAGGGGAAAGACACGCACACACCCACCACAGUAAUUUUGAUGCGAAGCGCGAGAGAGCUUUUUUUCUUACUACGUGACGUCAGCCGUGCAGCGCGUUCAACCAGCUCGCAGACGAAGUCGAGAGUUCUCACUUUUCAUUGUAAAUAUGAUUUAAGAUAUGUAUUGGAAGUCCUUCAGUGAGGCAGUCCUUACCCUCAAUGACCGAUUGGUGAUUCAAUAUGAAUAAUGAACCCACAAUGCAUUGCGUGUUUAACACGCCAGUAAACCUAUUGUUGGAUUGAAGAAGUAACUGUAGUGUAAUGACUUACUGAAACACGUGUCGCUGCCACCGCCACGCUUCACAGUAGGGAUGGUGUUAGCCAGAUGAUGAGCAGUGCCUCUUCUCCUCCAGGUAGAACGCUUGCAAUUCAGGCCAAAUAAAUUCCAUUUUGCUUUCAUCAUAUCAGAGAAAUGUGUUUCUGUGGGGUCCGAGAGUCCUUAAGGUGCCUUUUGGAAAAACUCCAAGCAGGCCGGCAUGCGCCUUUUAGUGACAAUUGGCUUCCGUCUGGCCAUUCUACCAUAAAGGCCUGAUUUGUGGAGUGCGUUAGUCAUGGUCGACCUCCUGGACGGUUCUCCUAUUUCCGCAAGGUAACGCUUGAGCUCCGCCUUAGUGACCGUAGGGUUCUUGUUCACUUCUCUGACCAAGGCCCUUCUUGCCCAGUUAUUACUCAGCUUGAUCGGACGGCCAGAUCUAGGAAGGGUCCUUCCUGGAGGUUCCAAACUUCUUCCAUUUCCGAAUACCCGAGACCACAGUGCUUUUCGGGACCUUCAAUGCUGCUGAAAUUCUUUUGUAUCCUUCCCCAGAUUUGUGCCUUGACACAAUCCGGUCUCUGAGGUCUGCAGACAAGUUCCUAGACUUCAUUGCUUGGUUUUUGCUCUGAUAUGCACUGCCAACUAUGAGAUCUUAUAUAAACAGGUGUGUGCCAUUCCAAAUGAUGUUCAAUCAACUGAAUUUACCACAGGUGGACUUUAUUCAAGUUGUAGAAGCAUCUCAAGGAAGACCAGUGGAAAUCAGAUGCACCUGAGCUUUAGUUUGAGUGUCAUGGCAAAGGGUGUCAAUACGUAUGUAUGUAUGUACCUAUUAUGUUUGAAUGUAUAAAUGUUUUUAUAAAUCUACACAAAUGUCUGAAAAUAUGUUUUUACUUUGUCAUUAUGGGAUAUUUUAGGUAGAUUUUUUUUUUUUUUGAAGAAGAAGAAAACUAUACUCAAAUCAGCUUUAGAAUAAGUGUAACAGCAAAAUGUGGAAAACGUGAAGGGGUGUGAAUACUUUCUGGUGGCACUGUAUGUAUAUUAAGAAAGAUCAUUACAAAUAUUUGUAAAAAUAAAGGACUCAUUUCUAAUGUAUGCCUGGUACUCUCGGGAACCGAUUAAACAAACAUCUCCAGCCAUAAUUUGAGAAAAUUCAUUAUCAUAAAGUCAUUAUAUAAUUGUGGAACAAAAUGGGAAUACAAGAAAAAUAUCAUUAUUGUACAAAUAAAAGACUCAUCUCCAAUAAAUGCCUGGUAAUCUCUGUGUAAAUGACUAUAGGAACUACAAGUAUAUUAUUUGAAGGCAUGAUUAUUUGUGGGACAUCUACAGUCACCUCUAAAGGUUUUUGAAUGCCAAGGUCAAUUCGUAUGUAUGCUGAAGACAUUUGGGUUUGAGAUCAAAAGAUGAAUAUGGGACAAAUGUUCAGAAUUCCAGCUUUCAUUUCAUGAUAUUUACAUCUAUAUGUGUUAAACAACUCAGGACAGAGCACCUUUUGUUUGAAGCCAUGCACUUUUCAAGUGAGCAAAGGUAUUGGAACAGACUUUAUGAAAUGAACUUAAAAGUGAAUAAACAUUUCAUAUUUGGUGGCAUAACCCUUACUUGCAAUAACUGCAUCAAGGCUGCGACCCCUUGACUUCACCAGACUGUUGCAUUCUUCAUUUGAAAUGCUUUUCUAGGCCUUUACUGCAGCCUCUUUCAGUUCUUAUUUGUUUCCGGGGGUUUCUCCCUUCCGUCCCGGACGAAAACCUUCUCCAGAGUGGUCAGGACCGCAGACUGGGCUGAAGGUUCACCUUCCAAGACAAUGACCCUUAGCACACAGCUAAAAUGACGAAGGAGUGGCUUCAGAACAAUUGUUUGAACAACUCAGUGACUGUUCUUGAAUGGCCCAGCCAGAGCCCUGACUUAAACCCAAUUGAGCAUCUCUGGAGAGACCUGAAAAUGGCUGUCCACCAACGUUGACCAUCUAAGAAAAAAAUUGACCUUGCCGUUCCAAUACUUUUGGAGGAGACUGUAUGUACGUUUCGUAGAAGGUUCUCUACGACGACUCAGACUGCGAUAGCGCCGAGCUGGACCACCCGAGCUGCGUGGACCCCAGCCAGAACUGGUG